GGAGGCUUUAUUAUUAAGCAUUGUUAAUUUUGCAUUUUCUCAUUGAUUCCUCGCCUGCAUUUCUUAAGUUUCUAAUUUUCUGCUGAAAUAGGUCAUGACUGAUGGUGCCCCUAACUGUCGGGAGCCCUUAGUUUUUGAACUAACUAGUCUACCCAAUGAGCGUUAUACGCCACUGAUAAGAGUAUAAAGAUUUUAGCGAUUUUUGUGCAAGGGAUUUUGUGGUAAUUACUAUAUAUCGAGUUACCUUAAUUCUUAAAACAUUAAUUCCCUUUUUUCCUCCCCAAAACAGCAACAGGAUUCUGUUGAGUGUAACCAUAGGCAUAGACAAUCCAGAUUUGUCUUUUGGAUUGUCUAUAUGGCAGGCCUCGAAUUUCCCUGAAACCAAUCGACGGCAAUGACGUUAAAAUUUGCCGUAGA